rnacentral:rRNA from 1 species
GGGGAAUAUUGGGCAAUGGGGGAAACCCUGACCCAGCAACGCCGCGUGAGGGAAGAAGGUCUUCGGAUCGUAAACCUCUGUCCUUGGGGACGAAAAAAAUGACGGUACCCGAGGAGGAAGCCCCGGCUAACUACGUGCCAGCAGCCGCGGUAAUACGUAGGGGGCAAGCGUUGUCCGGAAUGAUUGGGCGUAAAGGGCGCGUAGGCGGCCUGUUAAGUCUGGAGUGAAAGUCCUGCUUUCAAGGUGGGAAUUGCUUUGGAAACUGGCGGGCUGGAGUGCAGGAGAGGUUAGCGGAAUUCCCGGUGUAGCGGUGAAAUGCGUAGAGAUCGGGAGGAACACCAGUGGCGAAGGCGGCUAACUGGACUGUAACUGACGCUGAGGCGCGAAAGUGUGGGGAGCAAAC